UCGCCUGUUUAUCAAAAACAUCGCCUCUAGUAAAAUUAACAUUAGAGGUACUGCCUGCCCAGUGAUGAUAUUUUAACGGCCGCGGUAUCUUGACCGUGCAAAGGUAGCAUAAUCACUUGUCUUCUAAAUAAAGACUAGUAUGAACGGCAAAACGAGGGUUUAACUGUCUCCUAUGUCUACUCAAUGAAAUUGAUCCCACAGUACAAAAGCUGUGAUAAAACAACAAGACGAGAAGACCCUGUGGAGCUUAAAACACACUAGAAAAUACAACAAUAUUUAUCAAUCUUGCGCAUUAAUUCUAUACUGUUUUUGGUUGGGGCGACCACGGAGAACAUCAAUCCUCCGAGAUGAUAUGCCAGGAAACAAUCCAAAACAUCAGUAUACUGACAUAAUUGACCCAAUUAACUUUGACCAACGAACCAAGUUACCCUAGGGAUAACAGCGCAAUCCUCUUUAAGAGCCCAUAUCGACAAGAGGGCUUACGACCUCGAUGUUGGAUCAGGAUAACCUGACAGUGUAACCGCCGUCAAAGGUUUGUUUGUUCAACAAUUAAAAUCCUACGUGAUCUGAGUUCAGACCGGA
rnacentral:rRNA from 1 species